GGGUUGUGAGGUUAAGCGACUAAGCGUACACGGUGGAUGCCCUGGCAGUCAGAGGCGAUGAAGGACGUGCUAAUCUGCGAAAAGCGCCGGCGAGGUGAUAUGAACCUUUGACCCGGCGAUGUCCGAAUGGGGAAACCCAGUGCAAUCCGUUGCACUAUCGUUAACUGAAUACAUAGGUUAACGAGGCGAACCGGGGGAACUGAAACAUCUAAGUACCCCGAGGAAAAGAAAUCAACCGAGAUUCCCCCAGUAGCGGCGAGCGAACGGGGAGCAGCCCGGAGUCUGAAUCAGCUUGUGUGUUAGUGGAACGGUCUGGAAAGUCCGACGGUACAGGGUGAUAGUCCCGUACACGAAAGCACACAUGCUGUGAACUCGAAGAGUAGGGCGGGACACGUGGUAUCCUGUCUGAAUAUGGGGGGACCAUCCUCCAAGGCUAAAUACUCCUGACUGACCGAUAGUGAACCAGUACCGUGAGGGAAAGGCGAAAAGAACCCCGGCGAGGGGAGUGAAAAAGAACCUGAAACCGUGUACGUACAAGCAGUGGGAGCCUCUUUAUGGGGUGACUGCGUACCUUUUGUAUAAUGGGUCAGCGACUUAUAUUCUGUAGCAAGGUUAACCGUAUAGGGGAGCCGAAGGGAAACCGAGUCUUAACUGGGCGUUAAGUUGCAGGGUAUAGACCCGAAACCCGGUGAUCUAGCCAUGGGCAGGUUGAAGGUUGGGUAACACUAACUGGAGGACCGAACCGACUAAUGUUGAAAAAUUAGCGGAUGACCUGUGGCUGGGGGUGAAAGGCCAAUCAAACCGGGAGAUAGCUGGUUCUCCCCGAAAGCUAUUUAGGUAGCGCCUCGUGAAUUCAUCUUCGGGGGUAGAGCACUGUUUCGGCUAGGGGGCCAUCCCGGCUUACCAACCCGAUGCAAACUACGAAUACCGAAGAAUGUUAUCACGGGAGACACACGGCGGGUGCUAACGUCCGUCGUGAAGAGGGAAACAACCCAGACCGCCAGCUAAGGUCCCAAAGUCAUGGUUAAGUGGGAAACGAUGUGGGAAGGCACAGACAGCCAGGAUGUUGGCUUAGAAGCAGCCAUCAUUUAAAGAAAGCGUAAUAGCUCACUGGUCGAGUCGGCCUGCGCGGAAGAUGUAACGGGGCUAAACCAUGCACCGAAGCUGCGGCAGCGACGCUUAGGCGUUGUUGGGUAGGGGAGCGUUCUGUAAGCCGUUGAAGGUGUGCUGUGAGGCAUGCUGGAGGUAUCAGAAGUGCGAAUGCUGACAUAAGUAACGAUAAAGCGGGUGAAAAGCCCGCUCGCCGGAAGACCAAGGGUUCCUGUCCAACGUUAAUCGGGGCAGGGUGAGUCGACCCCUAAGGCGAGGCCGAAAGGCGUAGUCGAUGGGAAACAGGUUAAUAUUCCUGUACUUGGUGUUACUGCGAAGGGGGGACGGAGAAGGCUAUGUCAGCCGGGCGACGGUUGUCCCGGUUUAAGCAUGUAGGCGGAGGUUCCAGGUAAAUCCGGUACCUUGUUAACGCUGAGGUGUGAUGACGAGGCACUACGGUGCUGAAGUGAUAAAUGCCCUGCUUCCAGGAAAAGCCUCUAAGCAUCAGGUAACACGAAAUCGUACCCCAAACCGACACAGGUGGUCAGGUAGAGAAUACCAAGGCGCUUGAGAGAACUCGGGUGAAGGAACUAGGCAAAAUGGUGCCGUAACUUCGGGAGAAGGCACGCUGAUAUGUAGGUGAAGCCCCUGCGGGCGGAGCUGAAAUCAGUCGAAGAUACCAGCUGGCUGCAACUGUUUAUUAAAAACACAGCACUGUGCAAACACGAAAGUGGACGUAUACGGUGUGACGCCUGCCCGGUGCCGGAAGGUUAAUUGAUGGGGUUAGCGGCAACGCGAAGCUCUUGAUCGAAGCCCCGGUAAACGGCGGCCGUAACUAUAACGGUCCUAAGGUAGCGAAAUUCCUUGUCGGGUAAGUUCCGACCUGCACGAAUGGCGUAAUGAUGGCCAGGCUGUCUCCACCCGAGACUCAGUGAAAUUGAACUCGCUGUGAAGAUGCAGUGUACCCGCGGCAAGACGGAAAGACCCCGUGAACCUUUACUAUAGCUUGACACUGAACACUGGUCCUUGAUGUGUAGGAUAGGUGGGAGGCUUUGAAGCGUGGACGCCAGUCUGCGUGGAGCCAACCUUGAAAUACCACCCUUUAAUGGCUGGUGUUCUAACGUAGACCCGUAAUCCGGGUUGCGGACAGUGUCUGGUGGGUAGUUUGACUGGGGCGGUCUCCUCCCAAAGAGUAACGGAGGAGCACGAAGGUUGGCUAAUCCUGGUCGGACAUCAGGAGGUUAGUGCAAUGGCAUAAGCCAGCUUGACUGCGAGCGUGACGGCGCGAGCAGGUGCGAAAGCAGGUCAUAGUGAUCCGGUGGUUCUGAAUGGAAGGGCCAUCGCUCAACGGAUAAAAGGUACUCCGGGGAUAACAGGCUGAUACCGCCCAAGAGUUCAUAUCGACGGCGGUGUUUGGCACCUCGAUGUCGGCUCAUCACAUCCUGGGGCUGAAGUAGGUCCCAAGGGUAUGGCUGUUCGCCAUUUAAAGUGGUACGCGAGCUGGGUUUAGAACGUCGUGAGACAGUUCGGUCCCUAUCUGCCGUGGGCGCUGGAGAAUUGAGGGGGGCUGCUCCUAGUACGAGAGGACCGGAGUGGACGCAUCACUGGUGUUCGGGUUGUCAUGCCAAUGGCACUGCCCGGUAGCUAAAUGCGGAAGAGAUAAGUGCUGAAAGCAUCUAAGCACGAAACUUGCCCCGAGAUGAGUUCUCCCUGAGACUUUAAGUCUCCUGAAGGAACGUUGAAGACGACGACGUUGAUAGGUCGGGUGUGUAAGCGCAGCGAUGCGUUGAGCUAACCGAUACUAAUGAACCGUGAGGCUUAACCUUACAACGCCGAAGCUGUU
rnacentral:rRNA from 1 species